rnacentral:rRNA from 1 species
AGUGAACGCUGGCGGUAGGCCUAACACAUGCAAGUCGAACGGCAGCACAGUAAGAGCUUGCUCUUACGGGUGGCGAGUGGCGGACGGGUGAGGAAUACAUCGGAAUCUACUUUUUCGUGGGUGAUAACGUAGGGAAACUUACGCUAAUACCGCAUACGACCUACGGGUGAAAGCAGGGGAUCUUCGGACCUUGCGCGAUUGAAUGAGCCGAUGUCGGAUUAGCUAGUUGGCGGGGUAAAGGCCCACCAAGGCGACGAUCCGUAGCUGGUCUGAGAGGAUGAUCAGCCACACUGGAACUGAGACAAGGUCCAGACUCCUAAGGGAGGCAGCAGUGGGGAAUAUUGGACAAUGGGCGCAAGCCUGAUCCAGCCAUACCGCGUGGGUGAAGAAGGCCUUCGGGUUGUAAAGCCCUUUUGUUGGGAAAGAAAAGCAGCAGGUUAAUACCCCGCUGUUCUGACGGUACCCAAAGAAUAAGCACCGGCUAACUUCGUG